rnacentral:misc_RNA from 1 species
UCAAACUUGGUCAUUUAGAGGAAGUAAAAGUCGUAACAAGGUAACCGUAGGUGAACCUGCGGUUGGAUCAUUAUUGAGUGCAAAAACUUAUCCCCCCUUGUGUGUGAAUUGUUAUUAUUUUUUUGGUGGCUCACAAAACAUGUUGGCGCGUCUUUUUUUGCAUAGCUACUCACUUGACCGAGGUCUUGCGAGUGUCUAUAUUAAAGGGACACGACUUCGGGCCACCUAACUGUGUUAAAAUCCUUGUCCAAAUGUAAUUUUUGUCUUUGCAUGACUCGCGUGAGUGAAUCUCUGAUAACAAAAAAAACAACUUUUGACAAUGAAUCUCUUGGCUCUUGCAUCGAUGAAGAACGCAGC